AGAUUUACAGGUGGUUACUUACAAAUCAUGGACUAUGUGCCAGAAAAUCUGUCCCUUUUGUGUGUGACUCGGUUCCUAUAAAACAAAAUACAAUGUUGCAACACACUACUUGAGGUAAUAUGGGAAAUUGCUGAAAGAUGUCGUUAUGUCAGUCUAUGCUUGGCCAGUGUCACAAGACAAUAAUGGUGAGAUACUACCUAUGAAAAUACCUAUACUUCGUUGUGUCCAUAACAAUAAUGACUUGAUGGUAGACAGGGUUAGUGUUCUUCUGGCAUUAUAAACUGAAGGCGAAAGAGCAACAACUAAAGAACGGGAUUGAAGAUAUGAGAAGCGUACGAGCUUGGGGCAUGCUUGAAGAGCUCAAACGUGGCGAGAAUGGUCAUGGGAACCCUGAUGCCACCAUCUUGAUCCUCCAGCAACCUAGGGAUGAGGCCUUUGGUGAAGGGUUCAUAACUCUACCAGAACUUGAAAAAUCCCGAAUGGAUGCUCGUGUUCGCUGUCAUACUUGAAAAGAUUAGAUAAACCAUGUAAUCCUGAUCUUGGUUGGGCUCUUGAGAUCACAUAGACCAUGUUAGCAUUAGGUACAGUAGAGCUUACAGAGAAAUGAAAUAAGGUAACACAACAUGCUCAAUCAAUUUUCUGAUUUCCUCCGAACAAGAUACAACCUGCAUAGAUGUCAAAUCAAUAAAUUUUACUCUUAAAA
rnacentral:lncRNA from 1 species